CCCUUAGAUGUUCUGGGCCGCACGCGUGCUACACUGAGUGGAUCAGCGGGUCAGGUUGCGCGAAAGUGUUUCCUAAUCUUGAAAUCCGCUCGUGAUGGGGAUUGACGGUUGCAAUUUUCCGUCAUGAACGAGGAAUACCUUGUAAGCGCGGGUCAUCAUCCCGCGCUGAAUACGUCCCUGCCCUUUGUACACACCGCCCGUCGCUCCUACCGAUUGAGUGGUCCGGUGAGGCUUUGGGAUCUGAGCAAAGAGAGCGUUUCGCUCGUUUUGCCCGGAAAGCUCAGUCGAACCUUAUCAUUUAGAGGAAGGAGAAGUCGUAACA
rnacentral:rRNA from 1 species